CUAAUGAGGGUAAUCACAAAAGGAGGGAAACACACAAGGGCAGAAAGUAACUAACCUGGAAACACAGGGAUCAGAACUACUCUUCUAAUCUGCGGUGUUUGAUGAUCGAGCAGCUGAGUUUUGGCCUCUUCAAGCAGGCUAACCCUCCACAAAGCAGAGAAACUCUGGAGGAGUGUUUGUUGUGUUGCUGCUGGCUGAAGCUCCUCCAUGCUGGCUGGAGAAACGCUGCAAAGCUGCCAGGACGAGAGAAGAGCUGCCAGCCACCGUCUCUCAGCCAGAGAGGAGAGCUGCUCCGGCCUGAGAGGUCUCAAACACCUGGAACACAAAAUCAUCUGACAGCAAUCAGGACGAGGGGAAAAAUGUACAAAAACAAACACUGUUGUUUGGAGCGCGGCCCUCCUGGCUUCAGUCAAACGCUCCGUUUGAGCCAUCCUCUUAUGUUCUGCAAGUGCAGCUGCUGCAGUGAUAAACAUUUAAAAUUACAGGGGGAACAACAGGAUAAUACACGGGAGACGAAGUGAACAGCAUCCCCUGGAUAGAGUGUGGAGGAGGUCAUUUAAUAUGGCUGAUGUGGUGACUGUGGCAGUGGAAGGACAGCUGGUGGGACGUCCCCGUUAAUGCGUCUUCAUAUGGACACUUUGGCUUCACUGAGCUUCAGCGGGACGAGCAGGCGGGGUGGUGGGUGGUAGGGUGGGCGCAGCGCUGGGUGGCAGGGUGCUGCUCCUGUGACGCCCAGGGGCGCCGGCGUGCUGCACAAAAAGGAGGGAAAGGGAAAACAGAUGUUGACAAUCAGGUCUUUUCUUCCCUCUCUGCUCUGUGAGAGGAAGGAAGCAGAAGAAGCCCAUAUUCAGGAGACUUAUUGGAUUUUAGGGAUAAAUUGGAGAAACGUGUUGAUGCUCGUUCUGCUGACAGGAUGCUGUUUGAGUUCAGCUGACAUGCAUGUUUGUUUCCAAUCUUUGUUUGUACAUUUUACAUUAAUUUAAAAAAUAAUUUCCCAAAAUAUUGAAGAUAAACAUUUUUACCGUUAGAAAAAAACCAUUUUGAGGACCCAUUUUUUGGCAGACAUGUUACUGAAGACAUGAGAAGCAACAUGGUGUUUCAAAAAUAUUUACGUCAUACACUUUUUACCAAUGUUUUUAUUUUGGAUAAAGAAGAGCCCUUAUUUGUCUUACCAACCUUAUAUUUUUCCUUAUUGUUUUUUGUUUCUUGCAUGGGGUUAGUGCAAAUUAAGGCUCUUUGACUGUAAAUUGACACACAAUCAAAAAAAUCUAAUUAGUCAUCCUUUAAUUUCUAAAUGAAUUUAAACUUUUGCAAAUCAGUUUUAUUUUCUGUUCUAAAAAUGACAAAUCUUCACAUUUCUUGUCACUUUUUCAAAGCUAUAGGUUAAGCACCUUUUUAAAGCUGAUGGGCCAAUCAGACCAAAAAUAGCCAGUGUCAAAAGACAAUUCAUCACUUCAUACUGUUUUUAGUUUUGUAUGCCAAAUCCACAAAAUGGUAAAAAUACAUAUGAAAUAUGUCAGCAUCUGCCCUGCUUUCCAAAUCCCACUGUUUCUUUUGAUCAUAAUGCACACUACAGCUGCUCUUAUACAGUUUGUACUUUUAAUACAUCACGAAUAACAACUGGUAUACACAACAUUGUCAUACAUUAAAUUCAGGAAUCGA